GACGAACGCUGGCGGCGUGCCUAAUACAUGCAAGUAGAACGCACAGUUUAUACCGUAGCUUGCUACACCAUAGACUGUGAGUUGCGAACGGGUGAGUAACGCGUAGGUAACCUGCCUGGUAGCGGGGGAUAACUAUUGGAAACGAUAGCUAAUACCGCAUCAUAUUAAUUAUUGCAUGAUAAUUAAUUGAAAGGUGCAAUUGCACCACUACCAGAUGGACCUGCGUUGUAUUAGCUAGUAGGUGAGGUAACGGCUCACCUAGGCGACGAUACAUAGCCGACCUGAGAGGGUGAUCGGCCACACUGGGACUGAGACACGGCCCAGACUCCUACGGGAGGCAGCAGUAGGGAAUCUUCGGCAAUGGACGAAAGUCUGACCGAGCAACGCCGCGUGAGUGAAGAAGGUUGUCGGAUCGUAAAGCUCUGUUGUAAGAGAAGAACGGGUGUGAGAGUGGAAAGUUCACACUGUGACGGUAUCUUACCAGAAAGGGACGGCUAACUACGUG
rnacentral:rRNA from 1 species